rnacentral:rRNA from 1 species
UACGGGGGGGGCAAGCGUUGUUCGGAAUUACUGGGCGUAAAGGGCUCGUAGGCGGCCAACUAAGUCAGACGUGAAAUCCCUCGGCUUAACCGGGGAACUGCGUCUGAUACGGGUUGGCUGGAGUUCGGUAGGGGAGACUGGAAUUCCUGGUGUAGCGGUGAAAUGCGCAGAUAUCAGGAGGAACACCGGUGGCGAAGGCGGGUCUCUGGGCCGAUACUGACGCUGAGGAGCGAAAGCGUGGGGAGCGAACAGG